GACAUCAAGCAAGUCCCAAUUACAGAAAGAACCCACUGCAGGGCGCCCAGCCACUUGCCCAGUGAAAAGACUGUAAUCAGACAACUUUAAUAAAGGGAGAGCAGGAGAGUGUUGACGAAUUUCCACAUUCCGAACAAGCUUGUCGAAAGGGGAGUGCAGGGAAGGAGCAAGAAUGAGGCACUGGAAGACGGUGAGCGGGGCCUUGCCACAGAAUCCCGGGCCCACCUGCUUUCUCAUAGUCGCGACAGCCGGCCCGGAGAAGGGCAGCCCAGCGAAGGGCACGCCCCGCGCGGGUGCCAGGGAGGCCGGCAGGGGCGUCCGCGGUCGCUGCUCACCUGCGCUCCCCGCUGCCCGGCCCAGCCCGCCUUGCCACCGAGUCUGGAAGCCCACACUCACCCCUUUACCCGGGAAACGCGGCCGGAGCCGGCGGCGGGUCGGGAGUCCGGGAUGGUAGAUCCCCCUCCAGGCGCCUCGCUGACAUUUUGUCCCGGACGGAAAACCUCCGCGCGUGCCCCUUAAAGACACAGCGCUGCAUUCACACGUCUGCGGGGAAAGGGGGGCCGUCACGUGUGGCCUUCGCCCCAAAGCGGUAGGGGAGUCGCUCUGAAACCGCCAAGGAUCGCGAGCGACAGACUUGUGUUGGCCAGGGUUUUAAGAUGACGCAAUAGCUGAGCGUGGUUGAAAUGUAACUAUUGUUUUACAACUUUGCAUUAACCUUCCAAGACCUGAAUUCCCGGGCCUGAGUCUCAGAGCGCGGUUUGCAUCCUUGCAGGCUGUAGGCGCAUGAUGUCACAAGUUAUUGGAAGAAAUCCCUCCAACCUAGGUUGGGACAUGAAGGCGGCGCUUAUUGGUGCUCACCAAAACACCAGCAUGGUGUACCAGCUUUGGCUAGAUGAUGCUCAGGAAAACACAGAUCCUGGUGCCGAACAUGAGGACAGGGCAGGCCGAAGGAGAAAGUGGAAGGAGGGGAGCUUCUCUCUCAGCCUCAACCUCCUGGGCCUGGAUGCUGAAGAGUCAUGAGGUGCUUCAGAGUACUCUGGGUGAGGAGGGAAAGAUGGUGCCCACCACAUGGAGGCCAGCCUAGGUCUCGUAUGAAACCCGUGAGGAGAUUCUCUCUCCCUUGCUGGCUUUGAAAAAGCAAGUUGCCAUGUGAAGAGGGCCAUAUAGCAUAGGAGCUGAAGGCAGCCUCCAACUGACAGCAAGAAAAUGAGGUCCUCAAUCUGACAACCUGCAAGAAACUGAAUGUUCUAAAAGCCACAUGAGCUUGGGAGCAGAUCUGACCCCAGCCAAAUCUCUGAAGUCCACAGGCAGGAAAUGAAGAUCAGAAAAAGGCUAUUGUCUCAUGAAUAUGAGCCAGACUCCACAGAAGCUGGAGUCCUUCAUUAUGGAGCUAAACACAUACACCUGGCUUAGGAGUCAGAAAAACUGAAAGGGAAUUCAGGGAAGUAGAGAAAUUGCAAGCCCAGAUGCUGCUUCAUACCAAAGAAGCAAGUCAGCAGAUCAGCAACAAUGUGUAUCAGUUCCAAAAUGACUUACACAGGUACCAAGACAAGACAUUAUAUACACUUAUAUAGUCAAAUACUUUAAAACUGUUAACAAACUUGCUACAAUUGUCUCAUUUGUCUUUUAACCUUAAUAUCACAGAUCAAGUUUGUAAUCUCAAAAGUUCACCCUGGCUGCUGUGUGGAGUAUUCUCUUAUCUGCUCAUAUUACACCGUGCUUAUUCAUUCAUCAGUUAAUGGAAAUUUGGGUUGUUUCCUGAUUUUGACUGUAAUGAAUAAUGUUGCUGUAAACAUUCACGUACAGUUUUGUGUGGACAUGCUUUUCUUUCUCUUGGGUAGGUUCCUAUGAGUGGAAUCACUGGAUUGUAUGGUAAAUGUAUGUUUAACUUUUAAAGAAACUGUCAAACUGUUUUCUAACAUGAACAGGCCAUUUUACAUUCUUAUCAACAAUGUAUGAUGGUUUCAAUUUUCCCACAUCCUCACCAACAUUUGGUAUUGUCUCUCUUUUACAUCAUAACUAUUUUAGUGGGGAUGUAGUGAUAUCUUAUCGUGGUUUUAAUUUGUGUCUCCCCAAUGACUAAUGAUAUUGUGCAUCUUUGCGUAUGCUUGUUAGCCAUUUAUGUACAUUCUUUAGUGAAAUGGCUAUUCAAAUCUUUUGCCCAUUUAAAAAUCGAGUUGUUUUUCUUAUUAUUCAGUUGUAAGAGUUUUUUCUUUAUUCUGUGCAAAAGUCCUUUAUCAAGUCUAGGAUUUUUGAAUAUUUUCUCAGCCUAGAGCUUGUUUUUCAACAUUUUUUUCUUAAUGAUCUUUUGAAGUGCAAAAGUUUGAUUUUGAUGAAGUCUAAUGUAUCACUUCUUCCUUUAACUGUCAUGAUUUUUGUGUCGUAUCUAAGAACUCUUUACCCAACUCAAAGUUACCAACGUAUUUUCUUCCAGAAGUUUUGUAGUUUUAACUCUUCUAUAUAGGCCUGUGAUCCAUUUUCAAUUCAUUUUUUGCAUAUGAUGUGAGAGAAGGGCCUAAGUUCAUAUUCGUACAUGUGGAUGUACAAUAGUUCCAGGAUCACUUGCUGAGAAAAUACUAUCCUUUCCCCAUUGAUUUUUUUGGCACCUUUGUCAAAAAUCAAUUGACCAUAAAUGCAAGGGUUUAUAUCUGAACUCUCAGUUCUUCUCCAUUCAUCUCUAAGGAUAUGUCUAUGCUUACAUCAAUAUCACAGUGUAUUCAUGUGGCUUUGUAGUAAAUUUUGAAAUUGGGUGAUAGAAGUCUUUCAAUUUUGUUCUUAGUUUUCAAAAUAGUUUUGGCUGUACUUUGCAUUUUGAUACAAAUUUUAGGAUCUGUGUGUGAAGUUUUACAAAAAUGCUUGCUGGAGUUUUGAUAGGAAUUGUGUUGAACCUAUAGAUCUAUUUGAGGGGGGAAUUGCCAUCUUGACAAGCUUGAGUCUUCCAAUCCAUGGACAGGGAAUGUCUCCAUUUAUUUAAAUCUUCAUUAAUUUUUCUUAGUAAUGUUUCACAAUUUUUAGCGUACAAGUCUUAAACUUUUAUUACAUUUAUUUCUGUUUAUUCUUUUUGAUGCUUUGUGAAUAGAAUUUUUUUAAUUUUAUUUUUUGGGCUUGACAUUGCUGAUAUAUACAAAUACAAUAGAUUUUUAAAAUACUGAUCUUAGAUCCUGCAGCUUUGCUAAACUCUUCAAUUAGUUCUAGAUAUUUUGUGUAUAGAUUCCUUGGUGUUUUCUAUACACAAGAUUAUGCCAUCUGCAAAUAGAAGCAGUUUUUAUUCUUCCUUU